UGGAGCUGAGGGUGUGGAACAGAGGUAGA
rnacentral:piRNA from 1 species